UACGGAGGGUGCGAGCGUUAAUCGGAAUUACUGGGCGUAAAGCGUGCGCAGGCUGUUCUGUAAGUCAGAUGUGAAAUCCCCGAGCUCAACUUGGGAACUGCGUUUGAAACUACAGGACUAGAAUAUGUCAGAGGGGGGUAGAAUUCCACGUGUAGCAGUGAAAUGCGUAGAGAUGUGGAGGAAUACCAAUGGCGAAGGCAGCCCCCUGGGAUAAUAUUGACGCUCAUGCACGAA
rnacentral:rRNA from 1 species